rnacentral:rRNA from 1 species
CACGUAGGGUGCGAGCGUUGUCCGGAAUUAUUGGGCGUAAAGAGCUCGUAGGCGGUCUGUCGCGUCUGCUGUGAAAACUCAGGGCUUAACCCUGAGCUUGCAGUGGGUACGGGCAGACUAGAGUGCGGUAGGGGAGACUGGAAUUCCUGGUGUAGCGGUGAAAUGCGCAGAUAUCAGGAGGAACACCGGUGGCGAAGGCGGGUCUCUGGGCAACAACUGACGCUGAGGAGCGAAAGCGUGGGGAGCGAACAGG